UACGUAGGGUGCAAGCGUGUCCGGAAUUAUUGGGCGUAAAGAGCUCGUAGGCGGUCUGUCGCGUCGGCUGUGAAAACUCGGGGGCUCAACUCCGAGCUUGCAGUCGAUACGGGCAGGCUAGAGUUCGGCAGGGGAGACUGGAAUUCCUGGUGUAGCGGUGAAAUGCGCAGAGUAUCAGGAGGAACACCGGUGGCGAAGGC
rnacentral:rRNA from 1 species